AGGAAGCAUUGAAGACUCUAAAUUGGGCAGCGAAUAAUGUGAGCGUUUGUAUUAUAUUGUCUUUCACAUUUUCUUUUAGUACUAACAUCAUUAAAUAGAAUGUAACGAGUUAAACUGUGCAUCAUGAUUAAUUCUUUGUGGCUUCUUCUGGUAUGCACGCUUUGGCCACCAGGGGCAGUAUAAUACAGUCAUGCAGACAAACAAAAUUGAGUUUCACAACUACUGUGACUCAGUGUGCUGCAGUAACAGUUUUUUUUUGGAUAAAGAAUAUAUCCCUGUGAGUAAUCACAAAGUAUGUGAAAUCAGGCUUCAAAAUGGUCAAGAAUUGAGACAUUCUUUCAGCUUCCAGACGCUUCGGGCGUGUCGCUAAAUGCUCUCAAAAUCCGGCCUCCCUGGAACUGUCAGCUGUCAAUCAAAGACGUACUUCCUCUCACGGCUCCUCCUAAGCAGGGAGAGAUGUUCACACGGGCCACAGAAAGACAUUUUGGGCUGGGCACCUCUUUGUCUACGUUGAAAUUCAGUGGGCCAUUAAUCGACGGUGUAAAGAGUCAUUAUCCACAACACGCCGCAAGGAGGAGGAGGGGGAGAAAUCACGCACUGCUGUGGCCGCUGAGGUUCAGCUUUCAGCGGCCACAGACGGAUGAUUUUUUUCCCCCCUCUCCCUCCUCCUGCUCUCCCUGGAAUGUGUGUGGCUGAAGGCUCUAAAGCCGUUGCACUGGAUCCUCUGGUUGCUUUUCCAACCGCUGGCAAGGUGGGAAGGGGCGGCUGCUCCUGUCCGGUUCGCGGCUGCCUCACAACGCAACAUGCGUGGGCCCAGACAACAGACACACUGUAGCCCAAAUAAGACAUUACACUUCAGGCAAGAUAUAUUUUUUCUAGUUGUGGGCAUAGUUUGAUGGCCAAUUCCACACUACGCUCAAGUUAAUGAAUGAUGAAGUGGCAAUUCUGCUGAAUGGCCACUGCAUGGAAUAAUGGCACUUGGUGGAUACAGUAUAUAGGGGGGGAGGGCCUCAUGGUAGAAAGUACAGGACAUCCUCGAGUUACGACGCACUCGACCUACGACGUUUCGACUUUACGACGCCCGUGCCUCGUCCGCCAUUUUGUCCCAGCACCAUAGUGUUUCUGCUUAGCUAGUGCAUAGUGCUUGUCUGUGUUUGUGCGGCGGGAGUAUCUUUGCCUUUUUCGCCCUCCUUUUUUCACACCCUCAACAGUAAUGGUAAGUACAGCAUCUUAUUUAUUAUUUUUAAUGUAUUUUAGUUUCUUUAUACGAAGUGUUAACCUUUCCUGCUACGGUCACCUGACCGUGGUUGGGAGACGCAGGGGUUAACUCCCUUCUCCGGCGGCAACAAUAAAGGCACGAAGCACCGAUUUGCUGCUUUAAUGGCUUUAUUAGCUCCUCUGCACAUUCAACGUCAACGGGUCCUCUGCUAAUCGCUACUCUUCCCCGGUCGCCGUCACUACACUUGUCACGGUACACACUUACACCGGUACGCACUCCUUCCUUUUUCGCAGUCCCGCCGGACGACGCCUACGCAGUCCUAUCUCACUCACACAUCGACGCCCACACACACGGAUCACGUGGGACAAUACCCGUAACAGAAAUAUUUCGCCGUAAAUUUCGACUUUAACGGUGAAAUCUGACUUAAGCGGAAAAUCGUGUUACGUCGCCAGCGUAAGAACAGAACUCGUUCGUAAAUCGAGGAAUUCCUGUAUAUGCCCCAGCCCCGUGACAUCACGGAACUAGUUUUUCGUCCUGCCCAAAAGAGAUGAAGAAAAACGGUUUUAAGCAAUAUCACAACAAUUCAGUCCUAUAUUGUUCUCAGUGUUUACACAUUUGCAGCCCGUACCUUCCAACAUACUUAAUGUACAGUAUUUAGAAACAAAACAUGGAUUUGCAUUUGGUUGCACUUUAAAACACUGCCGAAGGAGUUAAUAAAGGUGUUAUUAUGAUGUUUGUUAUGAGUACAGUUUUUUGUUCAAAACUGUGGGUAAUGUUACAGUGGCUGACAAUACAUACUGUAUAUGGCAUGUUUCGCUAUUGCAAUGCAUGUCAUUGCUAUUCAAAGAAACAUCUGUCAUUUUACAGCACGCCGAGGCUGAGCGUGGCUCUCAUGGUGCAGGAAUGUGUACGACGCGUCCGGACAUCUUGAUUUUGAGCCAGCCAGAUGUCCCAGGUGAACUGUCGGCGUGCCCCAUCAUCCCCCACCGCGCGCUCCCCCACCGUCGGUACAGUGCAGAGGGAUCCCAAGGCGUUGUCAGGCCACGCGGGAGACAUAGUCGGUCCAGCAAGUCCUGGGGCGUCCCCGGGGCCUCCUCCCAGUGGGACGUGCCUGGAACACCACACCAGGGAGGCUUCCGAACCAGAUGCCCAAACUACCUCAUCUGGCUCCUCUCGAUAUGGAGGAGCAGCAGCUCAACUCUGAGGGCCUCCCAGAUGAGCAACCUUCUCACUCAUCUCCAAGCGAGAGCCCGGACAUCCACCUUGCGGAGGAACCUUACACCCUGACAGUCUAUCCCGGGAAGGCAGCAUGUUGCUCUUUACAGAUACCUCGCUCAGAGCCCAAUUGGGGAAAGCUGGGAGAGAUUGGGUGGAACAAAUCAUUUUUUAUGCAAGGGCGUUGAAUUGAUUGCAGCUGGACUGUUGUGGCUGCCUUAGAAGACGUUUCGCCUCAGCCAGAGGCGGUUUCUGAUAUGGGCGGUAUGUGCAGCCGCUCAGGGCGGCAUUGUGUGGGGGGUGGCAUCCCCCAGCCAAAAACCCAGACUUCCCUCUCUCCAGCCACUUGGUUCAUCUCUUCCCUGAGGAUCCCGGCCAAUCACGGAUCACGUUCCCUGGCCAAUUGGGAGAAAUACUGUCUCCAGUGUUGUCCCGGGUCUUCCCUGGAGCCUCCUCCUGGUGUGUCGUGCCCGGAACAUCCUAACGAGGUGCCUUAUGACAUCGCCCAUCUCUCACUGACAAUGCCGUGCUUUCGUCCAUUUCAAGGAAACUCAAUAAUUCUGCCGCCAACAAACAGCAUGGUCUCCUUGACCUUGAGGCAAUUCCCCUACCACUUUACAGCUGAAUGGAAUAUUAAUGAGGGAGUUUUCUUUGUAGACUGACGAUGGCCUCUAUGCCUACCAGCGCUCCCUUUUUUGCAUUCCAAAAGAAUGAUACCAUACGUGGUUUGGGGUGUGCCUCCAAGUUGGAGCAUAAAUAGUUGAGUUUUCCACACAAACACUGGCUGGUGCAUCUACGCCUAACUAAGCCUUGUUGCAUGAACUGAUGAAGCCUGCUCGAAUGGGAGGUGAAACGUUUUCUAAGACAAACAACAGUCCAGCUGCGAUCAAUUCAACACCCUGAGAAUUAAAGGACCUGGAUGAAGGAGAAUAUUCAGAAGCAUCCUGGAUGAAGGAGAAUAUUCAGAAGCAUCCUAACGAGAUGCCCAAGCCACCUCGUCUGGCCUCUCAAUGCGCAGUCACAACGGCUCUAUUCUGAGCCCCUCCCAGAUGUUUUUGUGAUUUUAUUUCAAUGUUUAUGCUUUUGUCAUGUUAUUAGAUAAAUAUUGAUUCUGAACUGCUCCAGGUGAUGCUUGAGGCACAAUUCCAAGCUUUCAUAUUGCCUUUUGGGAUCAUAUUGAUGGUUUCUAUAAUUGGGAUGCGAUGGUGGUGGUAGUAAGAGGUGUCUUAAGUGCACAGCCUGCCACUGUUAUGUAUAACACCUCAUCAUGUCACAAGUCACGUCAUGAGUCCCAAGUCAAAGUCGAGUCUCAAGUCUUUUAUUUUUAUGUCAAGUCAAGCUACAAGUCAUCAUAACAAUGAAUUGCAAUGACAAAAGUCCCCAUCUUUGCUCAUUUGUUCAGCAUUUGCAAUAUCUCCGGCCUCUGUCACGCUCGGCGGCAGACAAAGGAGCAUUUCCGACGACACAUCCAGGGGGUUGACUGACAUAUGAUAAAC